rnacentral:ribozyme from 1 species
UGAGGGCUCAAGGCCAAAGCAGAAGUGCUUAUAGUGUGGCCAUGUCAGAUUUCAAUGAAUCUGCAAAUUCUGCU